GUGUCAGCAGCCGCGGUAAUACAGAGGGGGCAAGCGUUGUUCGGAAUUACUGGGCGUAAAGGGCGCGUAGGCGGCCUUCUAAGUCGAACGUGAAAUCCCCGGGCUCAACCCGGGAACUGCGUCCGAUACUGGAAGGCUUGAAUCCGGGAGAGGGAUGCGGAAUUCCAGGUGUAGCGGUGAAAUGCGUAGAUAUCUGGAGGAACACCGGUGGCGAAGGCGGCAUCCUGGACCGGCAUUGACGCUGAGGCGCGAAAGCCAGGGGAGCAAACGGGAUUAGAAACCCGCGUAGUCC
rnacentral:rRNA from 1 species